rnacentral:lncRNA from 1 species
ACUUCCUGGAAGCUGAGAGGAAGUGAGCAAAGAUACUUCCUGGAAGCUGAGGAGCUUUGUGCAGAGAUCUCAACAGUACUCAAGGAUUAUCUGAAGCAUCACCCUUGUAAGGAGCACGGACUGUGUUAGUUGAGUGCAUCCAGGCAAUGUAAACAAAUGAAGAAAUGGCUGUCACUGGGAAUUCACAGCUGUUGACAUUUCUGUUUGCAGACUGGAGAGAGGGCUUGGCAGUUUAGAGCACUGGCUGCUCUUGCAAAGGACUCUGGUUCAGUCCCAGCACCCACUUCUAACUCCAGCUCCAGGGGAUCCAUUGCCUUCUUCUGGCCUCCCAGGUACCAGGCAUACAGGUGCAUGCAAACAAAAUACUCAUAAAAUAAUACACACAAAUAAAUACACACAAAAUGAAAAUAAACAAAUCUCUAAGAAAAGUUGUUUACAACCAGCUGCCAUGACACACACCAGCCUUUAGCAGCAGACCUUGCCUCUGUACAAGAGAAAGCCAAGGGAGAGCGGCUGACUGACACUAGCUAACGAAACUUGAAGACCCUGGCCUGCUCAUUUCUGCUGUAAUCAAAGCACAAGUGAAGCUCGCUCGGGAGAACUGAAGGAUUUACCUUUGGCACGACAAGAAAGGAUGUAAAAUCUAGUUACCUGCUUUUCUGAUGACAGUCCCUCAUCCUAUCCCUUGUCUUGAACAGGUCACAGGGCUGCUCAUCAUCUGAGGUUUGAUGGAUUGUCUAAAAAAAUAAAUACAGGCUACUAAAC